CAGUAAACAACAGCAUCAUCUGCAAUUUAAGAGGGCUGCUCAGAUUGUCUUCUAAAUUAUUUAUAUAGAUUAAAAGAGCGUAGGUCCUAUAAAUCUUCCUCAGAGAAUCUCAGAUAUAACCACGGUUUCACUGAAUGACUUCCCAUCAAUUACUACUAUGACCUUUCUGACAGUAAACCACAAACCCAGUCAAUCAGCUGAGACGAUACUCCAAAGGCGCACAAUUUGAUUAGAAGGUGCUUGUGAGGAACAAAGUCAAAAGCCUUCUGGAACUAAAGAAACAUAGCAUCGGUUUGAGAUCCCUUGUUUACUGCACUCAUUGCUUCAUGUAAAUAAAGAGCUAGUCAUUUUUCACAAUACUGGUAUUUUCUGAAACUGUUCUGGCUCUGUGUCAAUAGAUUGUUUCCUUUGAGGUAGUUCAUAAUUUUGGUACACAGUAUAUGUUCCAAAAUCCUAAUUCAAAUUGAUGUUAGUGAUGUGGGUCUAUAUUUCAGCAGAUCACUUCUAUUUCCUUUCUCUUUUAUUAGCAUGUCCUGUGAACUUUCCGGUGUAUAGGUACAGAUCUUUCGCCGAGUGAGCAGUUGUGUGUGUUUGCUAAAAAUGGAGCAAUUUUAUCAGCAUACUAGACAAUGAGCCUCUAUAUUUUGCUGAAUUAGUUUGGGAUCCAAAGCAAACAAAACAAUGUCACCUGCAGAUCAGAGGUUGUUCAGCUACCUUGCCAUAGUAUCUAGAACAAUAUUGGAGCUGAAAUAUUUGAGGAAGGAUCUAUUACAGUAUGUGUUAUGCAUCAGAGAUGAAAUGGACCAAAGCCAGCAUUUGCAGGACGUGUUAGACAAGCCAGUUCACAUCACAGUGAAUGUGGUUGGGGAGGCCAGACUGCGCACUGAGUGACUGGAUGGAAGCCUUCGACCCGCUUCCCGAUUUUACGAUCACCAUCAAAUAAAUCUGCAGUACUGCAAUGGGCACCCACUUGGCACUAUUUUCUGCGAACCUAUCCGUGGGUCAUCUAGAGCAGUGCUUCCCAAACUGUGGGGCGUGACUCGCAAGAUUUAUUCAGGUAUUACUUUCCAAGAAUUCCUGAUGAACUGCUAUGGAUAAGAAAUUUCAAGAGGACAACCUUCAAAAGUUAAAACUGUUGGCAUCUGCAGAAGACUCCCUGAUAGAACAAUCAUGUGAUUCUUCUGUGAAAACUUUAUUUCAAGAAUUAACCCAAAUCCCAUUUUGAAUCAAAUUAACCCUGUGGUGCAUGAAUUUCACUGCAAUGGACAACUUUUAAUGGUCAAUUCUCUGGUGUUUUCAUUCAGUCAUGAGGCUGCAAAUGCAUGCAGGACACAACACUAGUAGGGAGUGCCCACUGCAGUGAACUGUGUGCAUUUGCAGCCUCAGGACUGAUUGAAAAUGCCAAAGAAGCGACCAUCAACAGCUGUCCACUGUAGUGGACGCAAUGCGUCACAGCAUUAAAGGGAGAUUAUAGAGUGCUUGAAAACAUAGCUAUGAAGGAACUAAUGGGAUUCACAACUACUUACUUAUGUGAAUAUGCUCUUUCUAGCUUACUUUAAAAAAUAAAAAAAUAUACAAAACAAACAUAGAAACAAGCUUUGCAUGGAAAACAAUUUACAACUAA